CGCUGCUCCGCCGCCUCGUUUUCGAACUCGCUUUCGUUGAUUCUUGCCUGCACCGCAUGAGCAGCGAAACAGAGAAUCCGUCGUUGUCUUUAUUGUCGUACAUGCGGUCAAACUCAGCCUUCUUCAGAACUUUUUCUUCAUAGCGGAGCCGGUCCGAUUGUUGAACGACUGAUAAUCAUGUUUAAGCCUGCACGAAAAUAAUAUAGAAAGAAUAACCGUCACGUGGCGAUUCCUCUGCUUUGUGCUCAGCUAGAAAAACUAGUAUAACCAAGAAGCUUACAGAAAGGUGUGCAAAAAACCUACACGACGCAAUUUCGAGGUCCUCGAAGUCACCAUCGGCGUCGCUUUCCUCGUCUUCCAUCAAAAGCUUCUCGGCGUCUUCGCUCCCCCAUUCUCCGAGAGACACAAUGAGGAAAACCAAACAACAACCUGCACGUCUUCCUCAUCCCAG